rnacentral:rRNA from 1 species
AUGCGUUGCACUCACAGAUUUGGUUCAUUGAUUGUUCGAUUAGGCCACCACCAUGCGGCGGCGAUCGGAUAUAUCCUCCUAGCUAGCUCACCCUCUCUGCCAGACACAUGCAGCAGCAGCAGCUGGUCAGACAAGCCAGCACACUUAAUGGCGCCGCAGCCGCAUCCUGAUCGCUGCCGCACCUGGCCACGGGCGCCGCUCGGCACAGUACUUCUAGCACUAGCUAUAGUGAGCCUGGGCGGCGGCGGCGGCGAUGCCCUGAGCCUGGACCACUACCGGCAGAGCUGCCCGAGGGCGGAGGCGGCCGUGACGGCGGCGGUCCGGCAGGCCGUGGCCAAGGACCGCACCGUGCCGGCCGGCCUGCUCCGCCUGCAUUUCCACGACUGCUUCGUCAGGGGCUGCGACGCCUCCGUCCUCAUCGACUCCACGGCCGGCAACACGGCGGAGAAGGACGGCCCGCCCAACGCCUCGCUGCACGCCUUCUUCGUCAUCGACAACGCCAAGCAGGCCGUGGAGGCCAUGUGCCCGGGCGUCGUCUCCUGCGCCGACAUCCUCGCGCUCGCCGCCAGGGACGCCGUCGCGCUCUCCGGCGGCCCGUCCUGGUCGCCGCUGCUGGGGCGCGGGGACGGGCGGGUGUCGCUGGCCAGCGACACCACCUCGGCGCUGCCGGGCCCCGGGGCCAGCUUCGACCAGCUCAGGCAGGCGUUCCACGCGCUGGGGAUGUCGGUCAAGGACCUGGUGGUGCUCUCCGGCGGCCACACGCUGGGGUUCGCGCACUGCUCCUCCUUCCAGGGCCGCAUCCACGGCUUCCGCCCCGGCGCCGACGUGGACCCGGCGCUGAACCCGUCCUUCGCGGCCGCGCUGCGCAGGGCGUGCCCGGCCAACAACACGGCCAGGGGCGCCGGGUCGGGGAUGGACCCCACGUCGGCGGCCUUCGACAACGCCUACUACCGGAUGCUGCAGAGCGGGCGCGGGCUGCUGUCCUCCGACGAGGUGCUGCUGACGCACCCCAAGACGCGGCGGUUCGUGGCGCUGUACGCGGCGCGGCAGGACGCCUUCUUCAGGGCGUUCGUGAGCUCCAUGCUGAGGAUGAGCGCGCUCAACCAGCCCGGCGAGGUCCGAGCAAACUGCCGGCGACACAACUGA